AACGUAGGUGGCGAGCGUUAUCCGGAUUUACUGGGCGUAAAGGGUGUGCAGGCGGGCGACCAAGUGGUGUAUGAAAUCUCCCAGCUAAACUGGGAUAGGUUAUGCCAGACUGGUGGUCUAGAGUGCGAGAGAGGGGCGUGGAAUUCCGGGUGUAGUGGUGAAAUGCGCAGAUAUCAGGAGGAACACCAAUAGCGAAGGCAGCUCGCUGGGACGGUAUUGACGCUAAGGCGCGAAAGCGUGGGGAGCAAACAGG
rnacentral:rRNA from 1 species